rnacentral:tRNA from 1 species
GGGAAGGUGCCAGAGUGGUCGAAUGGGGCCGCCUGCUAAGCGGUUGUGGGCCUUAUAAGUCCACCGAGGGUUCGAAUCCCUCCCUUCCCG